GGGGGGUGGGUGUGGGUGUGAAGAAGUGUGCUGAGUUACCGUGAAUGAGGACCUGCGUCUAGCAGUUACCAUAGAAACGUGACGUCAGUAAGGCGACCGUGACGACUUUUUAAUGGAGACCGAAGCGGCCUGGCUAAGAGAACAGGUUUUGCCUUCAGGGGUUCGGGAGUGAGUUGGAAGAGUGGGUACCCACGGUGGGGGCUGGGCCUCCCUGGGGUGUGGGGAGACAAAGGGGUCUACGUCCAAGUCGCCUCUUUCCCGCCUUGGGGCUCGAUGCCCGGGCUGUCUCGACGGUAGAGCUAUUGGGGUUCCGCCUGGCCCCAGUGAGUGCGGUGUCCUGCGCUGGAGCCACUUUCCUUCUAGAGGCAGGGGCGCGGCGGGUGAGACAGGUCCCCUCUCUGAGCCUCAGCGUUCCCCCUCUGUACAAUGGGGAUAAGAGUGCUGAACCCACAGGGUCGCUGAGAGCAUUCAGUGAUAACACAGGAGUAAGCCCGUGGCCCUGUGGUUAUUGCGGGGUCGUGAGUGCCUGUAUGAAUUCAGUCCACUUCUUAUUCCUUAUUAACUUUCUUGUUACGGGACAAACGAGCAAAGGAGAAGAGAAAGGCCCUGGUGAGAAGUUCAUUGUAACUUCUGGUUGUUAUGAUCAGGAUCCAAUUGUAUCAGUGUCUCUAACCCAGUGCUUAGCACGGUGUGGGGCACAGUUACACCAGUAAAGCAUGGUGACUACUGGAUCUCUCCCACCCUGUGCAGCUCCUCAGGCCGGUGGCCGAGCUCAUAUCAAGUGUCUGAAGGAAGCAGGCUGUGAGGGUCUGUGUCCAGAGGGCGGCUGGAGCUUCUACUCCAGAUUCAAGGGUAGUGGUCCUGAGGAGACCCCAAUGGUUCACACGUCUUUGGUGGGAUCUGAUUCCUGGUUCAAGAAGUUUGAUGAUGGCGGUACAUUGACGCCACCUCAUGACAGAAACCUGAACUGCAGUUUGAAUAUCGUGAAGCAGAAAGGUGGGAAGAAGGGGCUGUGACCCACACCCACCUGGCAGAGCUUUCUGGGAGUCUGGGUGGAAAGGGGGCAUUCCCAGGGUACAGGGAUAUUGAAAUAUCCCGACGGAAAGUGAAGCCUCCUCCUGUGCUGAAGAGAAAGCUUUAUGUGAGUGGAAGUAAAAGAUGAUUUAAAAUUUUUUAUUCUUUGAAACCUCUGGAUAAAUAGCUAGAAAUUAUAUUAGCCAAAAUGGAGCAAGACCACUUAUAAUCUUUGUAAUCAUCUUUUACACUUUUAUGACCAUCUUUUCACAUAAACCUAUUUCUAUGAUGUAUUUUAAGUAUUUAUAUAAAAUUUCAAUUUUUAAUAUUAUUUGUAUCAUAUGAUGCUCCAAACUAUUCACCAGUAACCAAAUAGUGAAAAUCUAGUGCUUUACCAAAUUUUCUGUUAUAAACAACAGUGUACUUAACACCCUUGCUCAUAUGUACGCAUAUAUCUUUGUAAGUAUUUCUUUAUAAUUUCUUGAAAAUGUUCUUUAUAAACCAGGAAAAUUGUUAUAUUAAUACCACACUGGAAAUACUAUUACUAGUUUACAUUCCUAAUGUCAUUGUAAGAAAGUGCCUGUUCCUCCACACAUUAGAAAUAAUGUGAAUCCGGAUUUCUCUUGUGGUACAGUGGGUUAAGGAUCCAGCAUUGUCACGUAGUGGCUUGGGUUACUGCUGUGGUGCAGGUUUGAUCUCUGGCCUGGGAACUUCCGCAUGCCACAAGCACGGCCAAAAGAAAGAAAUAAUGUGAGUCAGUGCUUUCCCUGUAGGUAACAAAUCAUCUCUCUUCAUUGUUUUCGUUUGGGGUUUUUUUUUUUGCCCCCACCCCCCCUUCAUGGCCUAUGGAAGUUCCCUGGGGCCAAGGAUGGAAACUGAGCCACAUCUGCAACCCAAGCCACAGCAGUACAACACCCAGUUCUUAACUGCUAGGCCAUCAGGGAACUCCUUUCCUCAUUUUUUUCAUUAUCACUUGUUCUUGCUACUUUGUUCUAGAACUGCAUUAUGAUGUUGGUGAAAAUAAACAAUCUAUAAUAGGAAUAGAAAAGAGUUUU
rnacentral:lncRNA from 1 species